AUAGGCAGAUCUGAAAAACUGAAAUAAUUGCUGAAUAGUAAACUGGAAAAAAACACAGAGGGGAAAAAAAAAAAAAAAAGCAGCUAUAAUAAUUUCAUUCAUAGAUAACUAGUGUUAGAUAAAAUUGGUUUUAUUUACUAAAGACUGUAAUUUGCAGCUUUAUCAGAACAUUUCUAUAAAUUCAAGAGUCAUUAAUUUGAACAGCUCUGUUACAAAGACGAUUUGUUAAUAGUUUAGCAAAAGGGAUGAGACCCCAGCAUCUUGGCCACUGACAGAAUAGCACACCAUGAGACCUGCUGGUCACCACAGGACUGGUCUGGCAGCUUGUGGCAGUUGCACUUCCACCCCGCAGAGAACUGCUGUGGCAGUUGCAUAUCCUCCUCUGAGAACUGGAGCCUUCAAUGGGGCAGUUAAUGGCUCUUUUGUGGGGCCUGGAGAUAGUUGACAGGGUCGUUAGCAGAGGAGGGGCCUGGAGAAGCUGAGAAGCUUCUGGAAUGCCCACAGUCAGAGGUGGUCAUACUAUAAAACAGGGUUCCCACCGAAGAUUCCCUUUGUGUGGUCACCUUGGAACAGCACGCCUGCUGAGCCGGAGCCCUCCCCUUAGACUGGAAACCCUUCUAAGGAAACUUCCCGGGAUGGGGAGCGACUCACCUCCUCAUUUGGCUGAGCAAGGGGUCAUCAGAAAGGCAUUCAUGGAGACACCCUCCGAAAUGGAUCAGGAAUGACAGUCUGUGAAAAUUGAAUGCAAAAUAUGUGAGAUCAGCCUAAUGGAAUAGUGUUCCACCCCUCCAUCACCUAGCUGAAGGCAGAAGGGAAGCAUUAAGACUCCGCUGUCACAGACUGUUCUGUCACCGCCUACUAACCAUUCUAACUUGGAAUGUCCCUAAGAAAGCUGGAAAUGCCACUGUAGAGUUUUGGAAUUAAAACCCAGACAGAGCUGGGGAUAAGGGAAGAAAAAUAUAUAGAGAGGUUCUAUUUUUUCCUGUGACUAGGGUAACAAGGAUCUAUGACAAGUCUAUAUUAGGAUAUAUCACUAAGAUCAGUUGUGCUAACUUGAAAUUUACUGCAAAGACACAGACAUGGAGCAUAUUUUGAAUCAAAAG